GGGACAACUGGAACGUUGUAGGGGCACCCCAACACCCCAAGAACCGUCCCCAUAUCCCCCAACACCUAACAGAAGGUGACAACUGGAACGUUGUAGGGGCACCCCAAAAUCUCAAGGACUGUCCCCUAAUGGAAGGGGACACCUGGAAUGCUAUAGGGUCACCCCAUGGACUGUCCCCAACACUUAAUGGAAGGGGACACCUGGAAUGCUGUAGUGUCACCCCAACACCCCAAGAACCGUCCCCAUAUCCCCCAACACCUAACAGAAGGGGACAACUGGAACGUUGUAGGGUCACCCCAACACCCCAAGAACCGUCCCCAUAUCCCCCAACACCUAACAGAAGGUGACAACUGGAACGUUGGAGGGUCACCCCAACACCCCAAGGACUGUCCCCAACACCUAAUGGAAGGGGACACCUGGAAUGCUAUAGGGUCACCCCAAGGACUGUCCCCAACACCUAAUGGAAGGGGACACCUGGAAUGCUAUAGGGUCACCCCAAGGACUGUCCCCAACACUUAAUGGAAGGUGACACCUGGAAUGCUGUAGGGUCACCCCAACACCCCCAAGGACUGUCCACCAACAUCUAAUGGAAGGGGACACCUGGAAUGCUAUAGGGUCACCCCAUGGACUGUCCCCAACACUUAAUGGAAGGGGACACCUGGAAUGCUGUAGGGUCACCCCAACACCCCCAAAGACCGCCCCAAACACCUAACAGAAGGUGACAACUGGAACCCUGUAGCGUCACCCCAACAACUCCAAGGACUGUCCCCAACACUUAAUGGAAGGGGACACCUGGAACGCUGUAGGGGCACCCCAACACCCCAAG
ensembl:lncRNA